AUGGAACGAGAACCUGCAAAAUACCAGAUGAUCGUAUCUCCACAGGUAGCAGUUCAUGUCAUUAAUCUAGAUGAAGAGGAGAGUGAUAUCAAGAUCGAGCUGACAGAGGAAGACUCUGGAAGGACAACAUCAUCCUUAGGGAUGUAUUCCUAUGUGGCUCAGAUCAAGAACAAGCAAAGAAGGCCAGCAAAAAGAGAUGAUAUAUACUGGUGGGGGGAGGAACUCAGGUCAAUCUCAGUCUUGCAUCCUUGUAUCCUUCAGCCUGCAAGGGAAUUUUGCACGCUACAUGAUGUUGAACCUUCUGAUACUGAUUCUUGCAACGAUGCAAGUGCUUAUUUGGAGGGGUCCGAUAUUGAUUCUGAUGGUAAUGUGGCAACAUCGGAAGCUAGAGUUAAGUAUGAAAAGCCUAUAGAUUUCACCAAAGUGAAAAAGAAUCUUCUACCAACUGUAAUUCUUGUUGGGCGCCCAAAUGUGGGCAAGUCAGCUUUGUUCAAUCGUUUGAUCCGCAGGCGGGAGGCCCUUGUAUACAACACACCAGAUGAUCACGUUACUCGUGAUUUCAGAGAUGGCAUUGCUAAAUUGGGUGAUCUACGAUUCAGAGUAUUGGACUCGGCUGGCUUAGAAACAGCAGCUACUUCAGGUUCUAUUCUUGACAGAACAGCAGGGAUGACUGCGAGUAUUUUGGCAAGAUCUCAGUUUGCGGUUUACCUUAUAGAUGUGAGAGCUGGACUACACCCACUCGAUCAGUAGGUUGGAAGGUGGUUGCGCAAGAAUGCACCCGGAAUCAAUAUUGUAGUUGCCAUGAAUAAGUCGGAGUCUCUUUUUGAUGGUAGUGGGUCACUUGCUGCGGCUGUUGCUGAAGCUUAUAAGUUGGGAUGGGGUGACCCUAUUGCCAUUUCAGCUGAAACUGGACUUGGUAUGCAAGACCUUUAUGGGAGUCUAAAGCCUAUGCUUGAGGAUUAUAUACUGAAUGUCUUAAACAAUGAUCAAAACACUGAUGAGGGCAAUUUCAGUGACGACAGCUCCUGUGAGGUUGAGGAUAGUAAGCUGCCCUUACAGUUAGCAAUUGUAGGGAAACCCAAUGUUGGGAAGUCAACUUUGCUGAAUACAUUGUUACAAGAAGAAUGUGUGCUGGUAGGUCCCGAAGCUGGUCUGACAAGAGAUUCAAUUAGAGCCGAGUUUGAAUUUCAAGGAAGAACUAUAUACCUGGUUGACACUGCAGGCUGGUUGCAGAGAACAAAGAUGGAGAAAGGACCAUCAUCCUUGAGCAUCGUGCAGUCAAGAAAGAGUCUCAUGAGAGCUCAUGUAGUUGCUCUGGUCCUGGAUGCCAAAGAGAUCUCAAAGGCCAGAAGAAGUUUGAAGCAUGAUGAAGUAGUUAUAGCUAGACAGGCUAUUGAAGAAGGGCGUGGCCUAGUGGUGAUUGUGAACAAGAUGGAUCUAGUGAAAGAACAACAAACUUGUGACAAGGUUAUGAAAGCUGUACCUCAAGAAAUUCAGACGGUUAUACUCCAGGUUACUGGAAUACCAGUAGUAUUCAUAUCAGAAUUGGAGGGAAGGGGUCAGGCAGCUGUCAUGCGCCAGGUUAUUGAUACAUGUGAAAAAUGGUGUACAAGGUUGUCCACAGCUCGUCUGAACCGUUGGUUGUGUAAGGUUAUGAGCAGGCAUUCUUGGAAAGAUCAGUCUGCUCAACCCAAGGUUAAGUACUUCACACAGGUGAAAGCACGACCACCUACUUUUGUUGCCUUUGUUAGUGGGAAGAAAGAGCUCCCAGAUACAGACGUCAGGUUCUUAAAAAGGUCUUUGAAGGAAGACUUUGAUUUGGGUGGAAUUCCGAUCAGGAUCAUGCAGAGGAACAUCCCACAGAAGACUGCCAAUAGCAAUAGCAAGAGCAGCCAAAUUACUAAUAGGAUGCCUAUACCAAACAUGUCAGCAACCAUGUCUUCACAAUCACUUCUGCCACGAAUGCAGUUUGAAUUGCCUGGCAACAAUCCCCAGAGAAGUCAUGCUUCCCAGAUUUUGACCGACCAAAUGUUUAAUAUGGGAGCCACAAAUACUGGUGGCAUGAUGCCCUUACAACAGCAGCAGCAACAGCAGCAUGGUUCACAAGGUGCAUUUGGUAACAUGGCGCAAAAUGCUCAGAAUCUUCAAUCUAAUAUGGUACAACUUCAGGGCACAACACAGAAUCAUCCCAAUUUUUCCCAACAGAGACAGCAAAACCAACAGCAGUAG